rnacentral:lncRNA from 1 species
UGUAAAAGGUGGUGAGUUGGGGUCAAUUGGAAAGACACCUGGAGCACUUGGAGUGCCUGGAUAAAUGAUAGGUGUAGUGGGGGUGGUAGGAGUCGGGGAGUAACCACCCCCUGGAGUGCUUGGAGUUCCGGGGUCAAUGGUAGGAGUAGGUGGUGUUUCAAUGAUUGGAGUAGUUGGGGUAGUAGGUGUAGGGGAAGGAUAGUAACCACCACCCCCUGGAGUGCUUGGAGUACCAGGGUCAACGGUAGGCGUAGGUGGUGUUUCAAUGGUAGGUGUAGAGGGGGUGGUAGGUGUAGGUGUAGGCGAAGGAUAGUAGCCACCACCACCUGGAGUGCUUGGAGUUCCGGGGUCAGCGGUAGGAGUAGGUGGUGUUUCAAUAGUAGGUGCGGAGGGAGUGGAUGGUGUACUAGGGGUACUAGGUGUAGGAGUACUUGGAGUCGGGGAAGGAUAGUAGCCACUUCCACCCCCUGGAGUACUUGGAGUGCCAGGGUCUGGAGUUGGGGUUACAACAGGUGUAGAGGGGGUGGAUGGUGUACUAG